AUACGUAGGGGGCAAGCGUUAUCCGGAAUUAUUGGGCGUAAAGAGUGCGUAGGUGGUUUUGUAAGCGCGGGGUGAAAGGCUAUGGCUCAACCAUAGUAAGCCUUGCGAACUGUGAGACUUGAGUGCAGGAGAGGAAAGUGGAAUUCCUAGUGUAGCGGUGAAAUGCGUAUAUAUUAGGAGGAACACCAGUAGCGAAGGCGGCUUUCUGGACUGUAACUGACACUGAGGCACGAAAGCGUGGGGAGC
rnacentral:rRNA from 1 species